GGUACCUCAGAAGGAGCACAUUACAGUUUGAAUUUGAAAUGUUUCCCCAAAGCUCAUGUGUUCAGAGGUCAAGCCUUUGGAAGGCCACCAUGUCUCCCCACUUCUCAGCCUGACAAAUGUUCCCAGCCAGCCCAGGAAGUCCUGCCUUCUCCAGCUCUCUUCUGGGACACACACGGACUCUUCUGACAUUUCCAGGCACCUAUUACAACCCAGUCACCAUGCCAGUCCCUGGAGCUAGAGAUGCCAGACAUAGCCUACAUGCCAGGCCCUGGAGAAGAUGGGGGGAUGGUCAUGGCGGAGAGUUUUGCUUAGAAAUGAAACCGCUUCCUGGGCCGGUACACAAAAUGCUAUUCCAAUUGCCAAUUUCAAAUCCUGAAGCAACUCAGUUCAGCUCAAAUCCAGGUGAU